ensembl:lncRNA novel transcript
GAGCUCAUGAGUCAAGACUCCCCGGCCUAUUUUUAGGCCAUUUCUUCAGAUCACACGGUGGGCAGAGUUUGUUUACUCUGGAUCAGAGCUGCUCUGGGAACUCUCCAUGCAGCCACCAGACACUAGAACAAAGACCAGUGAGGAAGGAUGACUGAAGUCCAGACAUUGAGCGUGUCUGGUGUGUGUCCCGGUGACAAAGGCAGCCGAACAGACCACAGGGACUGGGGCUAGAGCAGUACAUAGCCCUGGGACAUCCUCCUGCCUGGCUCAGCAGCUGGAAUGAUUGCUUUGGCUCAUCCAACAAAAGCAGAGAGGACGCAUCGCCUGGGCGCCAUGCAAAGAUUAUUGGACACAGGAAGGUCAGCCAGUGCUCAAAGGUCCCUCGUGCAGCCAUCAGCUCUGGCCCCAAGCCCCUGGAGGGCCUCAUUCAUUUCUUCUUUGCUCCCCAUGAUGUUCUGAGAGCAAGCCAAGGGCAGGAGCUCCGCCUUGCCCAUGUUCAUAACCCAACUCUACCACCAGAAAAGACUCAGUAAAGUCUGUGUUCAUUCACUUA